rnacentral:rRNA from 1 species
UACAGAGGUCCCGAGCGUUGUUCGGAUUCACUGGGCGUAAAGCGCACGUAGGCGGAUUUGUAAGUCAGGGGUGAAAUCCCGGGGCUCAACCUCGGAACUGCCUUUGAUACUGCAAAUCUCGAGUCCGGAAGAGGUGAGUGGAAUUCCUAGUGUAGAGGUGAAAUUCGUAGAUAUUAGGAAGAACACCAGUGGCGAAGGCGGCUCACUGGUCCGGUACUGACGCUGAGGUGCGAAAGCGUGGGGAGCAAACAGG